rnacentral:rRNA from 1 species
UACGUAGGGGGCAAGCGUUGUCCGGAAUCAUUGGGCGUAAAGCGCGUGUAGGCGGCUCGAUAAGUCUGCUGUGAAAGUCCAGGGCUCAACCCUGGGAUGCCGGUGGAUACUGUCGAGCUCGAGUCCGGAAGAGGCGAGUGGAAUUCCUGGUGUAGCGGUGAAAUGCGUAGAUAUCGAGAGGAACACCAGUGGCGAAGGCGAGUCUCUGGACGAUUCCUGACGCUGAGGCACGAAAGCGUGGGGAGCAAACAGG